AAAGUGAGUUGGAAUGUCAACAUGGAUAUGCAUUCAUACUACAAAUAUUUCAUUUUUCGAAUACUAGCAGACAGUGCCAACGGCUUAUUCUUUUUGUCCUUCCCUUUACACAAGGGAAAUGAAAGUACUAUUAGCUAGAUACUUGAAGGUCACAAAUAACAAUUUGCUUAGAAAUCCGGGAAUUGACAGAAGAUAGAGAGCAUGCUUAACCCACAUCUUGUUUAUGUUGCUUCAGAAAGUAGGUUAUUUGGCUGCCAUUGAUGCUGAUGCUUCUUCAGCCCAAAUUUUCUCCAUGAGAGUCAUAUGUAAUUUUACGGCGGCGCUCAUUGUGACCUGCCAAACGCCUUCGGCAACUCCUCUUAGCAUCAUCAAACUCUGCUAACAGAUGAAAUCUGCACCUCAUCAUGCGAACAAUUGAAAAUUCACAUUAAAAGCUCUGUUUUGCCCCUGCUCAUUAGAAAAUGAUAUACUCCUAUACUUGGGAAUCUGAAAGCAGCUGAUUAGAAAAUACAUGAGAUGGCUGUGGAUGUGGCAGCAGCUACAGUUUCUUGGCUGAUUAGAUACACUACAUACUUUCAUAGGAAGUAGAAUCUUAUUUAGAAUACCUCGUUGUCAGAUGGAUGAAUUUGGAACAAAAAAUUUGUCUGAAGGAUAAUCUCUGUUUGCAUGUGCAAAAGUUAAUUCUUUCCCUUACCAGUAUUUGUCUCUCCCUUCAAAGAAAACAAAAGAAUCUUUUGUAUACAAUUUCAGUUGGAGUAAAGCUUACCUUCUACUACCUAAAGAAGGGACGAUCAAGAAGCCCUAUCGCAACCAUACAGACCAUUCUCCAUGUUAGCAAUAUUUAUUCACAUUUUUUUGGUCAACUUGAAGACCCAUUGGACAGUGAGAUUAAUUCUAAGAAGUCAUCAUCAUUGCUUGAUUUGGCUUUUGUUCCAUAACAAGGAAACCUAGAGGUUAACAACUAUCUCUUAAUUGGAUGUAGCCAUAAUCUUAAUAACCACAUUUCAAAGUUAAUAGUCUAGAAAUGUCAAUGGAUUAAUUAAAAGAUCCAGUAGUGUCUUGGAUUCAUUGUUAUAUCACGAUUUAAAAGACUCACUUUUGCUUUUUCACAGUUUAUGAUAAAAUAAAUGAUAUGCAUAGGAUAUUGUAUAAAAUUGAUUGUUGCUGUUGUACUUUCGUGUCUCUAUGUAUUAGUUUUUGCCUGUGUUAUUGGUAUUGGUUCUUGAUAUUAGGAUUCCCAUAUGUUGCACAAAAUGAAUCAACACUCAAGCUUAAAUUACCUUCUUCUUUGUUUAUUGGCUAAUUGAUGUUUUGAUUAAUGUUCCUCAUGACUUAAAUCUAAGAAAAACUGUUUGAUGAGUGCACAUAAUUAGUUUCCAAGAUAUCUCCACUAUACAACUCGGAAGGCACGGAUAAUCAUCAGAAAUUAGGGGUUACUUACCUGCUACAUUGCUGACAGAAUCGCUUCUGGAGUCCACUAAUAAGUACUAUUGGAGACUUUGAAUGGAACUCACACACCUUGUGGCGGCGAUGGUAUGGCUUGGCAUCUGCCAUAUCUGCAGUGCACUGAUCGACCUGGCAAGAAGGAUGUGCCGACCCUUCACCAACUAGCUUCCUACCAGAGAGAGUCAAUACCCUUUUUCUUUUGCUAUCCUCUUCAACACUUCCAUGUUCAUCCUCUUCCUUUUCAGCUUCAGUAAUGCUUCUCUUCCCUUCCCAUUUGUUAGUUUCCAUCCCUGUGAGGAGAACCUAUUGGGCCAAAAUAGAGUGAGGAAGCCAGAUAAAAGAGUAUGAAACUUGAACAAAGGUAAAAAAAGAAAGGUAAGUACGUGUGAGGACCACCAGUUCCAUAUUUUUCCUCCUAUGUGAAGUCUAGUAAGUGUCUAAGUGGAGAUGCUUUGGUGUUAAGAUGAACUAAAGAUUCUGAUUGGUGUUCCGUACAGAAGUGGGCCAGGAAAGGUGGAAUUAAAUUGAAA
rnacentral:misc_RNA from 1 species